GCCUCUCGCCGUGGCUGCGCGGCGGCCUCGUCCGAGAGGCCGGCGCCGGGGCAGUGACCGGCCCGUGCCCAGCCGCCGCGCAGGGCGCCCGGGGCAGCUGGCCGAGCCCUCGAUGCCUCCCGUCUGACGGAGGCGCCCGGGAAGCGCCGCCCACCUCGGCCCCGCACCCUCGCCGGCCUGCCGGGUCUCCGCCAGCCCUAGCAGACAGAGAGGGGCGCCGGUCCCUAGUCCCCCAGACCUCCAUUCAAGGUCAAAACUUUGCCCAGCUCAGCCUUGCUCGACCCUGGGCAGGGAAGCGCGGACAUCGGCAGAGGGAGCCCGAGGCUCUCCGUGCCCUUCGCGCCGGUCAAGAACUGUGGAAUCUUUCAGAUGAUAUUCUGAUACUUCUGGACCAAGAUUGAAUUUGUUCUUCAUGAAAAAUGUCUGGGACCUUUUAUGUGGGAGGAGCCAAGAUGGCCGAAUAGGAAAAGCUCCGGUCUACAGCUCCCAGCGUGAGCAACGCAGAAGACGGGUGAUUUCUGCAUUUCCAUCUGAGACAAGGUCUCACCCUGUUGCCCAGGCUGGAGCCCAGUGGCGCGAUCACAGCUCACUACGGCCUUGACUUGUGCUCAGGCGAUCCUCCCACCUCAGCCUCCUGAGUACCCGGGAUUACAGGCGUGUGCCACCACAUGCAGCUAAUGUAAAACAUUUUUAUUCUGUAGAGACAGGAUCUCACUAUGUUGCCCAGGCUAGUCAGACAAGUCUCGAACUCCUGGGCUCAGGCAGUCUUCUGCCUCAGCCUCCCAAAGUGCUGGGAUUACAGGUGUAAGCCAUGGCAUCUGACCCGAAGAUAAAUGUACUUGUCCUGUACUUUGUCAGAAUGUUCCUAAAUAGAAUAGGUAAAAGCCUGAGACCCCUUCUGAUUGAAAAGAUUAAAAAGUUAAGUCACCUUGUUCUGUUGCAUAUAUUAAAAAUUAAUUGUUG
rnacentral:lncRNA from 10 species